AUGAACGCUGGCGGCGUGCCUCAUCCAUGCAAGUCGAGCGAACAGACGAGGAGCUUGCUCCUCUGACGUUAGCGGCGGACGGGUGAGUAACACGUGGAUAACCUACCUAUAAGACUGGGAUAACUUCGGGAAACCGGAGCUAAUACCGGAUAAUAUAUUGAACCGCAUGGUUCAAUAGCGAAAGACGGUUUUGCUGUCACUUAUAGAUGGAUCCGCGCCGCAUUAGCUAGUUGGUAAGGUAACGGCUUACCAAGGCAACGAUGCGUAGCCGACCUGAGAGGGUGAUCGGCCACACUGGAACUGAGACACGGUCCAGACUCCUACGGGAGGCAGCAGUAGGGAAUCUUCCGCAAUGGGCGAAAGCCUGACGGAGCAACGCCGCGUGAGUGAUGAAGGUCUUCGGAUCGUAAAACUCUGUUAUUAGGGAAGAACAAAUGUGUAAGUAACUAUGCACGUCUUGACGGUACCUAAUCAGAAAGCCACGGCUAACUACGUG
rnacentral:rRNA from 1 species